AAGAGAAAGAAAGAAAAGGUGGGAUGGAGGAAUUGGGGAUAAAAAACCUGACAACCUGUGUGACUAGACAGUUGCUAUUGCUAAACCACUGAGGUGCAAGAAAUAUUACAGUCUUUCAGUCGGUAUAUCUUAAAAAUUUAUUCACAAUUAUCAAAACAGACUCCUUGCUGUUUUGGAAUUUUGGAGUAAAAGAAGAGGAGAGGGUAGGCAACAACAAGAUGAGAAGAGAAUACGAAAGUGUAGGCUCACUGUAAUGGGCCACAAUUGAUAGUUUAAGAAUUCACCAGGUGCUUUUCCUUCAGGAAGCCCAGAUAUGCACAAAAUGUCCAAAAUUUGUGAUGCAGCAUUGAAAUCUAACUCAAUAUUACCUGUACUCCAACAACUGUAU
rnacentral:misc_RNA from 1 species